CAUGCAAGUCGAGCGGUAACAGGUGUAGCAAUACAUGCUGACGAGCGGCGGACGGGUGAGUAACGCUUGGGAAUCUGCCUAUCAGUGGGGGACAACCCGGGGAAACUCGGGCUAAUACCGCAUACGAUCUAAGGAUGAAAGCCGGGGACCGCAAGGCCUGGCGCUGAUAGAUGAGCCCAAGUCGGAUUAGCUAGUUGGUAGGGUAACGGCCUACCAAGGCGACGAUCCGUAACUGGUCUGAGAGGACGACCAGUCACACCGGAACUGAGACACGGUCCGGACUCCUACGGGAGGCAGCAGUGGGGAAUAUUGGACAAUGGGGGCAACCCUGAUCCAGCGACGCCGCGUGGGUGAAGAAGGCCUGCGGGUUGUAAAGCCCUUUCGGUGGGGAAGAAAAGUCUCGGCCUAAUACGCUGGGACCCUGACGUAACCCACUAAAGAAGCACCGGCUAACUCUGUGCCAGCAGCCGCGGUAAUACAGAGGGUGCGAGCGUUAAUCGGAAUUACUGGGCGUAAAGCGCGCGUAGGCGGCUUUGUAAGUCGGAUGUGAAAUCCCCGGGCUCAACCUGGGAACUGCAUUCGAGACUGCAUGGCUAGAGUAUGGGAGAGGGAAGUGGAAUUUCANGUGUAGCGGUGAAAUGCGUAGAUAUCUGAAGGGAACAUCAGUGGCGAAAGCGACUUCCUGGACCAAUACUGACGCUCA
rnacentral:rRNA from 1 species